rnacentral:tRNA from 1 species
CGGGUGUAGCUCAGUUGGUUAGAGCGCCAGAUUGUGGCUCUGGAGGUCGUCAGUUCGACUCUGAUUAC